GCUGGAGUAGCUCAAUGGCAGAGCAGCUGACUUGUAAUCAGCAGGUUGCGGGUUCAAGUCCCAUCUCCAGCU
rnacentral:tRNA from 2 species